CCAAAUCUUUUGUGAAUCAUGUGAGGUGACAUUCACAUGAAACAGGUAAUGCAAGAAUUAAUGUUCUUAUUAUAUGUUUCCCAAGACUACAAUGAUCGGUACAAGGAAAAGUUUUCUAAACCUGCAUUUCGCUUCUCCUGUAUAUCCAUCCU